AACGAACGCUGGCGGCAUGCCUAACACAUGCAAGUCGAACGAAGCCUUCGGGCUUAGUGGCGCACGGGGGCGUAACGCGCGGGAAUCUGCCCUCGGGUUCGGAAUAACAGUUAGAAAUGACUGCUAAUACCGGAUGAUGUCUUCGGACCAAAGAUUUAUAGCACAAGGAUGAGCCCGCGUAGGAUUAGGUAGUUGGUGGGGUAAUGGCCCACCAAGACGACGAUCCUUAGCUGGUCUGAGAGGAUGAUCAGCCACACUGGGACUGAGACACGGCCCAGACUACUACGGGAGGCAGCAGUGGGGAAUAUUGGACAAUGGGCGAAAGCCUGAUCCAGCAAUGCCGCGUGAGUGAUGAAGGCCGUAGGGUUGUAAAGCUCUUUUACCAGGGAUGAUAAUGACAGUACCUGGAGAAUAAGCUCCGGCUAACUCCGUGCCAGCCGCCGCGGUAA
rnacentral:rRNA from 1 species